rnacentral:rRNA from 1 species
UACGAAGGGGGCGAGCGUUGUCCGGAAUUACUGGGCGUAAAGGGCGCGCAGGCGGCCUUAGAAGUCAGAUGUGAAAGCCCCGGGCUCAACCUGGGAAUGGCAUUUGAUACUCUGAGGCUGGAGUGCGGGAGAGGAGAGUGGAAUUCCCAGUGUAGAGGUGAAAUUCGUAGAUAUUGGGAAGAACACCGGUGGCGAAGGCGGCUCUCUGGACAGUAACUGACGCUGAGGCGCGAAAGCGUGGGGAGCAAACAGG